AAGCUUAAAUAUGAAAAAUCUAUCAAAUAUGCCAAAAAAAAAAAACGUCACUUUUCAGAUGGUUUUCGUCAAAAAUGAAAGUGGCCGCAUCCGUGUUCAUCCUCAACCUUUAUAUAUGUUAUGUAUUAUCAUCAAAUACAACUUACAUUUCAAUAUUAUGAAUGAACACGAAUGCGGCCAAUUUCAUUUAAGACGGAAACCGUCUAAAAUUUAACUAAAAUGCU
rnacentral:lncRNA from 1 species